ACGACGACGGGAGUCGCUCUGAGGCCGCAAACGACCACAAGAAACGACCACAAGAAACGACCACAAGAAACGACCACAAGAGACGACCACAAGAAACGACCACAAGAAACGACCACAAGAGACGACCACAAGAAACGACCACAAGAAACGACCACAGAAACGACCACAAGAAACGACCACAAGAAACGACCACAGGAAACGACCACAGGAAACGACCACAAGAAACGACCACAAGAAACGACCACAAGAAACGACCACAAGAAACGACCACAAGAAACGACCACAAGAAACGACCACAAGAAAACGACCACAAGAAACGACCACAGGAAACGACCACAGGAAACGACCACAGGAGACGACCACAAGAAACGACCACAAAAGAACGACCACAAGAGACGACCACAAGAAACGACCACAAGAAACGACCACAGGAAACGACCACAGGAAACGACCACAAGAGACGACCACAAGAAACGACCACAAGAAACGACCACAGGAAACGACCACAGGAAACGACCACAAGAAACGACCACAGGAAACGACCACAGGAAACGACCACAAGAAACGACCACAAGAAACGACCACAGGAAACGACCACAGGAAACGACCACAAGAAACGACCACAAGAAACGACCACAGGAAACGACCACAAGAAACGACCACAAGAGACGAUCACAAGAAACGACCACAAGAAACGACCACAAGAGACGACCACAAGAAACGACCACAGGAAACGACCACAGGAAACGACCACAGGAAACGACCACAAGAGACGACCACAAGAAACGACCACAGGAAACGACCACAGAAACGACCACAAGAAACGACCACAAGAAACGACCACAGGAAACGACCACAAGAAACGACCACAAGAGACGAUCACAAGAAACGACCACAAGAAAACGACCACAAGAGACGACCACAAGAAACGACCACAAGAAACGACCACAGGAAACGACCACAGGAAACGACCACAAGAGACGACCACAAGAAACGACCACAGGAAACGACCACAGGAAACGACCACAAGAGACGACCACAAGAAACGACCACAAGAAACGACCACAGGAAACGACCACAAGAACGACGACCAAGAAACGACCACAAGAAACGACCACAGGAAACGACCACAGGAAACGACCACAAGAAACGACCACAAGAAACGACCACAGGAAACGACCACAAGAAACGACCACAAGAAACGACCACAGGAAACGACCACAGGAAACGACCACAAGAAACGACCACAAGAAACGACCACAGGAAACGACCACAAGAAACGACCACAAGAGACGAUCACAAGAAACGACCACAAGAAACGACCACAAGAGACGACCACAAGAAACGACCACAAGAAACGACCACAGGAAACGACCACAGGAAACGACCACAAGAGACGACCACAAGAACGACCACAAGAAACGACCACAAGAGACAACCACAAGUGACGACCACAAGAGACGACCACAGGAAACGACCACAAGAAACGACCACAAGAAACGACCACAAGAAACGACCACAAGAAAAGACCACAAGAGACGACCACAAGAAACGACCACAGGAAACGACCACAGGAAACGACCACAAGAGACGACCACAAGAAACGACCACAAGAAACGACCACAAGAGACAACCACAAGUGACGACCACAAGAGACGACCACAGGAAACGACCACAAGAAACGACCACAAGAAACGACCACAAGAAACGACCACAAGAAAAGACCACAAGAGACAACCACAAGAAACGACCACAAGAGACAACCACAAGAAACGACCACAAGAAACGACCACAGGAAACGACCACAAGAAACGACCACAAGAAAAGACCACAAGAGACAACCACAAGAAACGACCACAAGAAACGACCACAAGAGACGACCACAAGAAACGACCACAAGUGACGACCACAAGAGACGACCACAGGAAACGACCACAAGAGACGACCACAAGAAACGACCACAAGAAAAGACCACAAGAAACGACCACAGGAAACGACCACAAGAAACGACCACAAGAAACGACCACAAGAGACGACCACAAGUGA
rnacentral:lncRNA from 1 species